AUCUACUUUAAAUUUAAAGAAUUUGGCGGUAAUUUAGUCUAGUCAGAGGAACCUGCUCACUAAUCGAUAAACCUCGUAGUAUCUUACUUAUUUUAAAAUAUAUUAGUUUGUAUACCAUCAUUAUCAGAUAAUUUUAUAAGAGAAUUAAUUAUUAAAAUUAACGUUGUUAUAUAAAUUAGAUCAAGGUGCAGCUUAUAAAUAAGUUAGAAUGGGUUACAAUAAAAAUUUAUUUAAACGGAUUAAUCUUUGUAAAUGAGUAUAAAGGAGGAUUUGAUU
rnacentral:rRNA from 1 species